rnacentral:tRNA from 1 species
GGCGUAGCUCAGUUGGUAGAGCGCAGGAUUGUGAUUCCUGUGGUCGUGGGUUCAAAUCCCAUCGUC